rnacentral:rRNA from 1 species
CCAGACUCCUACGGGAGGCAGCAGUGGGGAAUAUUGCACAAUGGGGGAAACCCUGAUGCAGCGACGCCGCGUGAGUGAAGAAGUAUUUCGGUACGUAAAGCUCUAUCAGCAGGGAAGAAAAACCGGCCUUAGGGCCGCCAGACGGUACCCGACUAAGAAGCCCCGGCUAACUACGUGCCAGCAGCCGCGGUAAUACGUAGGGGGCAAGCGUUAUCCGGAUUUACUGGGUGUAAAGGGAGCGUAGACGGCAGCGCAAGUCUGGAGUGAAAUGCCGGGGCCCAACCCCGGAACUGCUUUGGAAACUGUGCAGCUCGAGUGCAGGAGAGGUAAGCGGAAUUCCUAGUGUAGCGGUGAAAUGCGUAGAUAUUAGGAGGAACACCAGUGGCGAAGGCGGCUUACUAAACUGUGACUGACAUUGAUGCUCGAAAGUGUGGGUAUCAAACAGGAUUAGAUACCCCGGUA